AUUUAACUUAUACUGAAUAAUAUAUUAAGAUACGAUCUUGUUACUCUAAUUAUCCUUUGCUGAAUAUCUUCUCUGAAUAUCUCUUUUGUUACUUUAAUUAGUUGCCCACCUCUACCGUUUGGUCCUCGCUUCUACCGUUCGGUCCUCGCUUCUACCGUUCGGUCCUCGCUUCUACCGUUCGGUUCUCUUCUCCUUCUCUCCUAUACCUCUUCCUCUCCUACACUUUCUAGCCCCUAUCAUAUAUUUUCCAGCCCCUAACAGUACACCCCGCUGCAAAACAACCUUGUCCUCAAGGUUGGGAACGGGGAGCUUGAUCUCAUGGCUCCUCAUCAAUUAAGGUCUGGAGGCUCAGGUGGUGGCCAUUCGUCCUCGUCUUCUGCCAAUAUCAUGACUCUUAGGCACUUAUCCGGGUAGCGGUGAGCAGGACCGAACAUUUUGCCGCAUCUAAAGCACCUUCCUUCUUUCCUUCGUUUCUCAUACUCCUCAUAAGGCAGAUUUCUCAUGUUUCUUUCCUUUCGUCCGGACCCCACAUUCUCUGUGAUUGCCGCUUGGCUUUCCACAGAAGUUACCGUUCGGUUCUGGAUAGGGCGACUGGGCUCCAACCACGUAUUCGAACCGUUAGGUCUCUCCCCAGAGUGAUUCUCGAUCAUACUUUCGCCUUCAGUCCUCGCACCUCCGUGGAGCUCCUCUGUGUCCCUUGCCAUCCUCAUAGCCGACAUCAACUCCUGUGGGUCUAGCAGCCAUACUUGCUUACGAAUCUCCUCUGUAGCCCUGCCAUGAAGUACCCCAUUACUUGUGCCUCAGUUACGCCGGACGUUUGUCCUACCAAGAUUUCAAAAUCUUUUAUGUAAUCUUCCACUGACCCUGUUUGCCUGCUGGACGCCAAACUUUCAAAGAUUGACCCCUGACUUCUUCCUCCAAAUCGGUUCACCAUCGCUUCCUUCAACCCUGUCCACGUAUGGUUUUUGGUCUUGCCCCUCCAAAAUCUAAACCAAUGACCAGUGCUACCCUACAUGUUGAUAUAGGCGAGGCGUAGUUUUUCAUCCUCGUUAACCCCUUGUAAUUCAAAAAAUUUGUCAGCCCUAUUAAUCCAAUUUAGUGGAUCAACCCCUUCAAAAUUUGGCAAUUCGACCCUUUUCUUCCACUCACUGUUCGGUCCACCACCUCCACCACCGAUCUUCUCUCCUUCUUCAUCCUUGUGUUGGUUCUCCCUUUUCCCGUUGACCGAGCUCUGGCUUUCAUCCGAGUUCUCAUCGUUUUGACGAGUUCGUCUUUCCAGCAUCAUCAUCAAUUGUUGCAUGUCUUUGCGGAGUGUCGCUGAUUUUGCCUCCAUGUCCUUGCGGAGUGCCGCUAAUUCCGCCACCCUGGACAUCUCCAUGUUUUCUAGUUUCAGCUCCAUGCCAUCCAGUCUUCCUUCGAUUGCACUUACCCUUCCCUCCAUGAUUUCUUUCUCCCUCUUAUUGAUCCGGUAGUUUCCUCACCCUUGACGGAUCCGGCAUGUCAGACCAAUUGUUACGUAUCCGAGUAGGGAACGUAACGAAAUCGCCCUCUCACACACUCAAAACAAGCAAAAGAAUAAUAAAAGAAUGGAAUUGAACAAAUGAAUCUCUUUUAUUGAUGGUAGUGUAUGAAUAAACAAAAGUAAACAAUAAUUGGGAGCAUAACCUCCGUCAACUAUUUCUAAUAAUUGGGAGCAUAACCUCCGUCAAUUAUCCUGGAGCAUAACCUCCUUUACAAAACUCACAAAUCAAAAGCAUACCUUUAACCCUAGACUCUAGCCUUAUUUAUACUAUAGUAUUUCCCGCCCAUCUCUUACUAAAUAUCUCUCUAGAAUAUAUCUAUAUUUAAUGUAAAUAUCCCUAUAUAAUCCCCUAGUAUCUAUCAUUAAUUAUAAAUAUUAUCUAUUGUAUAUUUCUUUGGACUGUAUAUUUAUUUACUAUAGUUAUCUUGUACUGAAUAAUAUCCUAAUAUAUGGCUUUGAUUACUCUAAUUAACUUCUCUAGAAUAUCUUCUCAGAAUAUCUCUUUUGUUACUUUAAUUAGUUGCCCGCCAUUCGGUCCUUGCUUCUACAGUUCGGUCUUCGCUUCUACCAUUUGGUCUUCGCUUCUACCAUUCGGUCCUCGCUUCUACCGUUCGGUUCUCUUCUCCUUCUCUCCUGUACCUCUUCCUCUCCUACACUUUCCAGCCCCUAUCAUAUGUUUUCCAGCCCCUAACACUUACUGUAGGAUGUAUUGUGGAGUCUAUUUAUGCCAUACUAGAUAUCAGAGAAAACAUAACAGGGAAAAAUGAAGUGUGAAAUUAUGAUAAAAGUGACAGUGAAAUUAUAUAGUAGCUAAUAAGCUGUAUGACUCACUUCUGAGUCAGCAACUACACACUAGCUAACAAAGUCUAUCAGAAGAAUUGCCAGUGAAAUUGCAAAAACAUAAAUGUAGAGGUCAUGUUAUCUCAAUAUUGCAAUUUAUUUCUGAUUGCGUUAAGGUUUCAUGAAUGGUUAGAUGUUCUUUUGGUCUUCUUUAUUUUUGGUUGCUUGGUUUUGUUUAUAAAAAAUAAAGGUGACAUUUUCUUACUAAAUUUACAAUUUGUCUUUAUUUUUUUCCUCCCUCUUGCAGUGGUUGCUCUCAAUUGUCUUUUUCUUACUCAUGUUUUUUUAUUAGUUUUGUUGGAGAUCCUGCAUUAAUUAGAGACAUGGACAAAAUAUAAUAAAUGAGUGUAAACCUCUCUUUAUGAAGCAACUUUUGUAGGAUUGAGUUAGAUGUAAUUUUCAGUUCGUAGCAUGUGGGAUUAUGUUAGAGUGAUGAGGCCCAAAGAAUGAGUGGGCUUACUCGAUCAAUAGACUACGAAGGUACCAAGACACGUUGGGGAAAAGUAUAUGGAAUAAAGAAGAGAGAUUCUAUUUGUAUUCUGUUUUGCCUAGAUUUAUGUUUGGGAUAAUUUCAACAGGAGGGUUGAGAUAUGUUUAAAGUCCGCUUUCUCAUAAUUUAAAUAGAAAUAAGAGUAUAAGUUUGCAAAUUUUGUUGUCUUGAUCGUUUUUUUAUGAAAUUACUUGAUGAAAUGGGGGAAUAACCAAAAAAUCUUAUUGUUUGUCUUGGAUUUUCCUAUUAUUUAGGUUUUUGUUGCAAUAAACAAGAACUUGUUUUUUCUUAAUCCUUUUCUAUAACUUAUUAGAACUUGUUUGUUUAUUUCUCUUAGCUUCCAUUUAUUGAAGCAAAAUUGCUUUGUCAUUUGUUGGAAGUUCCAUAUUGAUUAGAGAUAAGACCAUUUUAGAGUAUAUAUGUGGGUGCAAAUCUCACCUUAUAAGCUGGUUUUGGAAGGUUGAAUUAAGUUUAAAGUUCACUUCUUAACAUGGUACCAAAGGUAUGGGUUAGAGCUUAUUCGAGCGAGAUUUGUGUUUGUUGGACAUAUCAUUCUAUCUGUCAUCAGACAGUUAUUUGACCACUCAUUAAUGUCUAAUCUCAUACACAAGAUGUAUGUACUUCGGCAUGAGAGG
rnacentral:lncRNA from 1 species